AUUGAACGCUGGCGGAAUGCUUUACACAUGCAAGUCGAACGGUAGAGGGGGCAACCCCUCGAGAGUGGCGAACGGGUGAGUAAUAUAUCGGAACGUGCCCAGUCGUGGGGGAUAACGUAGCGAAAGUUACGCUAAUACCGCAUACGAUCUAAGGAUGAAAGCGGGGGAUCGCAAGACCUCGCGCGAUUGGAGCGGCCGAUAUCAGAGUAGGUAGUUGGUGGGGUAAAGGCUCACCAAGCCAACGAUCUGUAGCUGGUCUGAGAGGACGACCAGCCACACUGGAACUGAGACACGGUCCAGACUCCUACGGGAGGCAGCAGUGGGGAAUUUUGGACAAUGGACGCAAGUCUGAUCCAGCCAUUCCGCGUGCAGGAUGAAGGCCCUCGGGUUGUAAACUGCUUUUGUACGGAACGAAAAGGUCUCUCUUAAUACGGGGGGCUCAUGACGGUACCGUAAGAAUAAGCACCGGCUAACUACGCGCCAGCCGCCGCAGUAA
rnacentral:rRNA from 1 species